UCUGGAGCAGGCAGCUCCCUAGGUAAUCUUCACUUGAGCUGAAGCAGUUCGGGUACAGUAGCAAGUAAAAGUUCGAGGCUGCAACUGUGUAGUGUAAGUCUUUACCACUGUGCUGUAAGAGUCUUGCUGGAGCACCGACGCUGCAACUGUAGAAGAGGCUCUCCCCCUUUCGGCUAAUGCUAGGACUGCUGAAAUCAGUCCUCAACUAGGUCUGUCCUAUACAGACCUCUCUUAGUAGCCAAAUAGCUACUACUUACUGGAAACAACCUAGUAGGACAUCUACUUCUGGGUCUUACUUCCCUUGAGUCCUACAACCAAGAGAAACCCUAGGUUCAAACUUGCUUUACUCUCUUACACCCCUAGGUCUUUACUGCAGCAACCCAGAAAAGGAAGAGAGAAGAUGAAAAGACAGCAAGAGAAGAGAGUGCGCCUGCUGAAACCCUAGGUUCAAACUUGCUUUGAUACCAUGUAAUCUUAGGAGUUGUACUCGAAGUAGUAAAGGAGAGAAGAGAAAAUCUGAAAUGCAGUGAAUGUCGAACUGAACUGCUCAGUCGACAGUAUUAUUAUUUAUAUUAUGAUGUAGUACAAUGAUACAAGAAGUUACUGGAAUGCCCCUGAUUAGUGAUGGG